CUCUUUUGACUCUGAAAUAACGUUUCAGUUGUAACCGGGGAGCCUGGCAGGACACACAGCGGUCACCCUCUCCGGACAGGAGGGCCAUCCUGAGCAUGGGGCUGGCUCUUAAGGGCACUAGAGGGAAUU